GUGGGAGCAUGCAGCCUGCACUGCGGGGGAUGUGAUGCCGGCUUGCCAACUUCCCCCUGCCUGGUCCACUGCGGACGCCCCAGCCUGCAACCAUGGUAACACUUCUGACUGGAUAUGCCCCUGGGAGCCCCCCACGAUGGGCAGCCUCCUGGUGACUGAUGGACAGCUGAUCACACGCCUGAGUGAGGGAGCCUAGUAGGUCUGCAGGCAGCAGAGACGAUGUGAUUCUACCCCCCCACCCCCCAGCUGGGAGUCAUGCCAUAAGGAGCUCCUCCCCCCUUCGUUCCCACCCUCAAGUCUGACGAUGACACCUCCAAUUUUGAUGAACCAGAGAAGAAUUCGUGGGUUUCAUCCUCUCCGUGCCAGCUGAGCCCUUCGGGUUUCUCGGGCGAAGAGCUGCCCUUUGUGGGGUUUUCAUACAGCAAGGCACUGGGGUAUCUUGGUAGAUCUGAGUCUGUUGUGUCGGGUCUGGACUCCCCUGCCAAGAUUAGCUCCAUGGAAAAGAAACUUCUCAUCAAAAGCAAAGAGCUGCAAGACUCUCAGGACAAGUGUCACAAGGUAUUUAUCUGUGCAGCCGGCCUCCGUCCUUGCUCCAGGAUCCUCCCAUCACUAUAUGCCAAGGGAUCUGCCAGGGGCCGCUGCUGGCACUGAGCCUCCUGAUCUGUAGAGAGCGAGGUGCCGCCCGCCUCCCUCGUUGAAGUCGCGCCUCCAUCAGCUCAGAGGGAGAUGAAUUCGGGCCUAGACAUUGCCAUAAAUCCUUUAAAUCUUUACCAGAGGAGGCCCUGGAUUUAAAACGGCCCGUUUCUCAGCACGACCCAGCCCGAUGUCUGCUUCUUCCGGCAGGCGGCCUGGGUCCUCCUCACCUGGGGCUGAGAAGCGUCCCAUCUGCUCGGAGUGAGGCGAAGUCUGUCUUCCUAGUCCUUUAAAACUCCUGCUUAUGUCACUGCGGCCACUGUGCUGACUAUGCUCACGUCUCUUAAUGCAACUCUCUGAAAGCCCAAUAAGAAACCACUGCUCGUGUGGGACUCCUAAGAGUUCAGACGAAUCAUUGUCUCUCAGCCUGGCCCUGGAUCUGUCCUCUAGGUCUUUGCAAGGAGAUGGGGGGACCAAGAUGGAUUUAGGAUAAAAUUAAACUGGCAUCCGUAUAAGCCAGACCGAUACCAAAAAAAAAAAAAAAAAAAA
rnacentral:lncRNA from 1 species